GCACCAUUAGCUCAGUUGGAUAGAGCAACGGAUUUCUAAUCCGUAGGUCAGUGGUUCGAGCCCACUAUGGUGUA
rnacentral:tRNA from 2 species